rnacentral:lncRNA from 1 species
UUAGCUAGCUAUGCCACUCGACUCGGUCUUGAGUCAAUCAUCUGCGGAGUACCGCUCUCUGUCAGGCUCGAGGUAAAGGAACUAUCACAUACACCUCAGCCACCAAUCCACAAACCACAUCGCCCAAUGGGUCGCUUAGAGCAGCGCACACCCGCGAUCAAGAGUCUUCCCGGUGGGAGGGGAAUAUGUCCCACGCACCCGUGGCCUCAGACCCCCGAUAGAGAGGGGAAUAUGCCCCACGCACUCGCGGCCUCAGACUCCCGAUAGGGAGGGGAAUAUGCCACACGCACCCUAGCGAUCCAAGAUUCUUCCGGUGAGAGGGGAAUAUGCCACACAGCCCCGCAGCCAAGAAUCAUCCAUAAGCCUAUCCUCGAAGUUCUUCCGAUGGAAGGGGAAUAUGCCACAUGCACUCGCGACCAAGAAUUGUCGAGCUCUUAUGCUACACUAGCAGCCGCUGCACUCGCAGCCGGGAUUCCGGAUUCCACUUUUCAUGCCUCAAGGAUUGGUCUCACCCUAUAGUGUUGACCUAUCUAGGUCCAAGCCAUUACUCAAUCUAAGUCUAAUAACAUUAGGUCCAAUGUCACUAUGUUCAUAGCCUAGAUUCCAUAACACUAGGUCCGAUGUUCUUUAUUGCCUAGGUUCUUUGACUCUAGGUUUAAUGUCACUCGUAUCAUAACCUAGGUUCUACAAUACUAGGUCUCAAUGCCACUCAUCACUUACCUAUGUUCAUUGACACUAGGUUUCAUUGCCAUUCACAAUACUUGUCAUCCUAGUUAUUCACACUUAGAAUUAUUAAUUGACCUGCCACUCAAUGUACUCGUUUUCCUAGUUAUCCAUACCUAGGAAUCAUACUUUACAUGUCCUUGCUUUCCAAUGUCGAGUUUUUUUAUCAACUUAGAGUUAUCGACCCAAAUUCACUUUCAUAUAAAUCUAGCAUAUUCUCACAUUAUGUCUACAUACAUGUGUUCUUUAGCAUUUCAUGCACAUGCAUAUGUUCUUAUCAUAUAGUAGUUAAUAUACAUUUUAGCCCAUAACUCAUGCAUUCUUUCGCAUCUAUCGCAUGCUUUCUUUAGCAUCUAGCUCUUACAUUCACUUAGUAUAUACUCUAUGUAUUCAUUUAGCAUUUAACUCAUGCAUUCAUUUAGCAUACAUUAUGCAUACCCAAUUAGCACAUGUCAAUUAUGCAUCCUUUUACUAGCAUACAUUCUAUGCAUUUAUAAUUAGAAUCUAACUCAUGCAUUAACUUUAGCAUUUUAACUCAUGCAUCUAGUUCAUGUUAUUUAGUAUUUAGCUCAUGCAUCAUUCACUCGGCAAUUUUACUACCACUUCAUGCAUCAAUAAUGAAACACACAUCACUUUGGCAUGGAAGCGACCUAAUCGCUUCGGUAGAGCACAACCCACCUAAUAUCGCUCUCGAUUGCUUGUAGUCACUUGCUAUCGGGCUCCCGCGGCACUCGUGAUCCGGUUCGGCUCAUACGCGCAAACGAUCACCAAACUCCUAACAAUCCGCAACGUAGGGUCAUCAAGGGCUCAACUCUAACCUUCAAUUAGAGGAUUAAAGGGUUAAAUGAGAUCAAAACCCUCAUUUACUCAAAACCCCAAUUUGAAGCCCUAGCCUUAAUACAUCCCAAAUACCCCAAAAACAUAUGGAGUAACAUGUUUAGAACACUCUAGGGUCUAUUAGAACAUUAUUAAUUCAUGAAGGAUUUAAUAGAAAUCCCAACGCUUACCAAUUUGCGAACGCCGAGUCGGAGGCACCCCACUCAAACGGGCGCACGAGGACUCGAAUCGUCGCUCCCAAUGAGUUCCCAAGGUUCUUCUCCUCCAAAAUUCCAACUUUGGGAGAGAGAUCUAGAGAGAUGAGAGAGAUAUCUAGAGAGAGAAAGAGAGGGUUUCUCUCUCCCUUACUAUGCGUGUGUGUGUGGUGUGUGUGUGCUGUGUUCGGUUGAGGAGGGAGGAAGAGGAAGGAAAUGGGAAAAAGCCCACUUUAGUCAACCCCCUCAACUCAACAUAACUCUAGUUUAGCAGCUCAGAAUCUGUUCCUUUCCGCCGGAGCCCUUCUGAAAGUCCGUUUAUGCUCAAAUUUGACAGUCAGGCUCGGUUUAAGCUAAUAAAGAGAAAGAUAUCUUAACUUUUCAGUUUUGACCAUUUUUUGUCACCGAAAGCUCUACCGACUAGAAUCUCUAGCAGAUAGCAGUCGGAUUUUAUUUUUCACUUUCUGGGUAUCGGAAUGAUAUGAAACUUUAAAUCUAGCAUCAUAAAAAUAAUUCCGACAUAUUCCCAAGUUUUCAUAAUUUUCUGACACUGAAUUUUUUGCUAAAAUAACAGCCCUGUUUCUCACAGAAAAUUCUAAAUCUUCUGUUUCCGUUCCGAUCUCAGCACAAGUCGUUUCCGACUUAUAUUUUACUUCUUUAAGUCCAAUAAAAAUAGUAUCUCAUACAAUUUUUAUUUACACUUACUUUUAUAUUAAAAUUCGGUAUAUUACACUGGGCAUUCCACAAGGGUUGCAUCUAUAGAAUCCCACCAUAGCUACAUGAUGUUGGCGGCCUUUCCCCCUUUUUUUUUUUCGUUGUUGGCCGAUGGCUUACACGGGGCUGCAUAGGGCUGCCACAUGAAGCCCCCAAAAGAACGCUGUAUUAAGCCACCCUUACGCAGCCACCUAUCGUGGCCGCCGCCACGAUGCUAUCUUACCGAAGGACGAUCUCGGUGGGGCUGGUCUACAUUACCGCUAUCACAAACCAGUUGGCGACAAUAUUAUUAUUAUUAUUAUUAUUAUUAUUAUUAUUAUUAUUAUUAUUAUUAUUAUUCCCAAAGAGAAAGAAAUUAAACAAAAAUCCAAAAGAAAUGAAAAAAUUUGACAAAAGAUGCGGCUCUAAUACUAUAUGUUAAACUUUAUAAGAAAUUAAGAUUGUAUAUUCUGCCAUGAUUUCGAUUUUUAAACCCGGAUUGUAGACUGUAAUUCUUGCUCAUGGUCCGUCCUCAUUCACGAUCUACAAAAUAGCGGGACGUUUCGAGCCUAACUCCCUUAUCUCCGAAGAUGGAGCCGUCACAAGAAUUAAGAUUAGGGUUAGAUCGGAACUCCCGUAUGUUACAUAUUUAUAUAUAACUUGAUGUAAGGAUGUUAAAUCAUGUUCGUCCAUCAAGAAUGUGUCCAAAUACAUCUAACCGUUAGAUCUAUCGUAUCUUUAUAGAUCGACUUGAAUAGACCAACUGUAUUUUUAUAAAUCACCUUGAAUAAAUCACAUGUACCACAUCCAACACGGAAAUGUCCAAAUCCAAGAUCAAUUUUGCAAAAUAUCUACGAGAGCAAUGAUUUCCUCAUAUGUCAAGCAAGAAACUCCCUAAGGAUCCCUCAAAGUUCUCAAAAAGAGCAAUUUACCUUAAAUGCUUGAUGGGUUGAUUACACAUUAAACAUAGAGAUCCACAUAAAAUAGCUUUGGAAUAAACUAGAUUUUCUAACAUAUUUUCA